rnacentral:rRNA from 1 species
UACGUAGGGUGCAAGCGUUGUCCGGAAUUAUUGGGCGUCAAGAGCUCGUAGGCGGUCUGUCGCGUCGAAUGUGAAAACCCGGGGCUCAACCCCGGGCCUGCAUUCGAUACGGGCAGACUAGAGUUCGGUAGGGGAGUCUGGAAUUCCUGGUGUAGCGGUGAAAUGCGCAGAUAUCAGGAGGAACACCGGUGGCGAAGGCGGGACUCUGGGCCGAUACUGACGCUGAGGAGCGAAAGCGUGGGGAGCGAACAGG